GGGCCGUUAGCUCAGUUGGUAGAGCAGUGGACUUUUAAUCCGCGUGUCCCGGGUUCGAACCCCGGACGGCCCACCA
rnacentral:tRNA from 1 species